rnacentral:rRNA from 1 species
UACGUAGGGUGCGAGCGUUGUCCGGAAUUAUUGGGCGUAAAGAGCUUGUAGGCGGUUUGUCGCGUCUGCUGUGAAAAUCCGGGGCUCAACCCCGGACUUGCAGUGGGUACGGGCAGGCUAGAGUGUGGUAGGGGAGACUGGAAUUCCUGGUGUAGCGGUGGAAUGCGCAGAUAUCAGGAGGAACACCGAUGGCGAAGGCAGGUCUCUGGGCCACUACUGACGCUGAGAAGCGAAAGCAUGGGGAGUGAACAGG